rnacentral:rRNA from 1 species
UGGGGAAUUUUGGACGAAUUGGGGGCAACCCGUCGAUCCAGCAAUGCCGCGUGUGUGAAGAAGGCCUUCGGGUUGUAAAGCACUUUUGUCCGGAAAGAAAACGUCGUGGUUAAUACCCGUGGCGGCUGACGGUACCGGAAGAAUAAGCACCGGCUAACUACGUGCCAGCAGCCGCGGUAAUACGUAGGGUGCAAGCGUUAAUCGGAAUUACUGGGCGUAAAGCGUGCGCAGGCGGUCCGCUAAGACAGAUGUGAAAUCCCCGGGCUUAACCUGGGAACUGCAUUUGUGACUGGCGGGCUAGAGUAUGGCAGAGGGGGGUAGAAUUCCACGUGUAGCAGUGAAAUGCGUAGAGAUGUGGAGGAAUACCGAUGGCGAAGGCAGCCCCCUGGGCCAAUACUGACGCUCAUGCACGAAAGCGUGGGGGAGCAAACAGGAUUAGAUACCCUGGUAGUCCGCGCCCUAAACGAUGUCAAC